CGAAGCUGCUUAACUGAUCUUCUUCGGAAUUGACGUUUUGUAGACUGAGUGGCGGACGGGUGAGUAACGCGUGGGUAACCUGCCCUGUACAGGGGGAUAACAGUCAGAAAUGACUGCUAAUACCGCAUAAGACCACAGCACCGCAUGGUGCAGGGGUAAAAACUCCGGUGGUACAGGAUGGACCCGCGUCUGAUUAGCUGGUUGGUGAGGUAACGGCUCACCAAGGCGACGAUCAGUAGCCGGCUUGAGAGAGUGAACGGCCACAUUGGGACUGAGACACGGCCCAAACUCCUACGGGAGGCAGCAGUGGGGAAUAUUGCACAAUGGGGGGAACCCUGAUGCAGCGACGCCGCGUGAGUGAAGAAGUAUCUCGGUAUGUAAAGCUCUAUCAGCAGGGAAGAAAAUGACGGUACCUGACUAAGAAGCCCCGGCUAACUACGUGCCAGCAGCCGCGGUAAUACGUAGGGGGCAAGCGUUAUCCGGAAUUACUGGGUGUAAAGGGUGCGUAGGUGGUAUGGCAAGUCAGAAGUGAAAACCCAGGGCUUAACUCUGGGACUGCUUUUGAAACUGUCAGACUGGAGUGCAGGAGAGGUAAGCGGAAUUCCUAGUGUAGCGGUGAAAUGCGUAGAUAUUAGGAGGAACAUCAGUGGCGAAGGCGGCUUACUGGACUGAAACUGA
rnacentral:rRNA from 1 species